rnacentral:tRNA from 1 species
UGGUCUCGUAGUGCAGGACCCGAUCGUCCUUGCCGUGGAUCAGCAGGGUCGGCGUUCGGACGCCGGAGAUCUU